UCCCUGGUGACUCAGUGGUAAAGAACCUGCCUGCAAAGCAGGAGAUACUGGUUCAAUCCCUGGGUUGGGAA
rnacentral:tRNA from 1 species